rnacentral:lncRNA from 1 species
GUCCCUCCCUGCGUGACCAAAAACCCCACGUUCGGGAACCGGUCUCUCAAACUUGAGACCGGUCCCUCGCUGCGCGACAGAACCACCAAGGUUCGGGAACCGGUCUCUCAUCACAGGGGACCGGUUGCAUCAAGGUUUACGCAGUGAGGACCUUGGGGGAACCGGUCUCUCCAUUUCAGAGACCGGUCCCAGAACACAAGAAAGUUCAGAAAAUUUGUUUAAAAACAAUCUAAGCCUUCUGAACUUAUUUUAAACAUGUAUCUUCACCACAAAUGAUCUUUUCUACAUACCUUAGGUGUCGAUCUUUCCGAAUGAGUCUUUGUCCUCCAAUUUGAAUCUUUUCUCAAAAUCUUCUGCAAUCAACUCUUCAAGACUCCAAACAACUUUACGAAAUUCGCCAACCUAUAAAAUCCUUAACAUUAUCGCUACCCGAGAGCAGCAGUUCGGAGAAUAC